rnacentral:rRNA from 1 species
GACGAACCGUGCGAACGUUGUUCGGAUUCACUGGGCUUAAAGGGCGCGUAGGCGGGCGGUCAAGUCAGGGGUGAAAUCUUUCAGCUCAACUGGAAAAGGGCCUUUGAUACGGAUCGCCUCGAGGGAGGUAGGGGCAUGUGGAACUUCCGGUGGAGCGGUGAAAUGCAUUGAGAUCGGAAAGAACACCAACGGCGAAAGCACUCUGCUGGGCCGACACUGACACUGAGAGACGAAAGCUAGGGGAGCAAAUGGG